GAACAGGCUGUCAACCUGAUUUUCGGAGUUAUAUCAGGAAGGCGAGGCUGCCAUUAACCAAGAUAUUACUUGGAGGGCUAAAGACACAUCAUCUGCCUUGCCAGGGCUGAUCAUCAAUGCUAAGUCUGGGUACCUCUCACCCCAAGGAUGAGAAAUGAGGGGGAAAAAUAAGGAAUGUGAAAAACGCUAAACAUAACAGCAAGGAACACCUCCCUAAAGACACAGGGCCAAUUUUCAAAUAAGGAAAGAAGGGAAGCUGAAAUAACAAAUUAUUUGAAAGCUCUGUGGUUUUAUUCUUCAGACUGACCUCUCCUCCUGUUUAGCUCAGAAGGCCAGUAGUCACAAAAAGUUACCCAUGAUCCCUUUUCUAAUGUGUAUUUAAGCUAAGGAGAUGUGCAUACACUUGCGUUUUCAUUUCCUCUUCACCUUUAUUUUCAAAAGAAAGAAUAAACCAUGUUUAUUGAUCAAAUCCUAGGAAAUCCAUCUGUGUAGUAGACUGGUCUACAGAGUGUAUCUCCACACAAGU
rnacentral:lncRNA from 1 species